AAUCCCCAAAACAUAGAAACCCCAGAGCCCUAAUAGACUCACCUCUCCCAUCGUCGCCUGCUCCCAUCUUCUCCUCUCUUCUUUUUCCUCUUUCCCCACGCCAAAGGACACCAUGGCAGACGAAGCCCAUAUCCCUCUCGUCCUUUCCUCACUAUUCACAACGUCACCAUGGUACUCGAAGCCAUGGAAAAGCUUUCACUACGCCGAAUCCUCAACGAUUUCGAAUCUAGGGAAUCAAAGUUGAAAUCAAUUCAAACACUCUUGGACCCAUUUCGUUGCUCAAAAUCAGAGCAUUAGACGGGUUCCACUCUUUCCCUCGUGGCUGAUUGACGAGGCUGUUGUCGAGUCAUUCCAGGGUGAGCAUGAUGACGGCCGCUACCCGGAUGUUCUUUCCUUUACCUACUUGUCUUACUCUUAUUUCGAGACAGUUGUAUUAUGAGACUUUAUCAUCUUUCAGGCUUGUAGUAUUUAGUUAGUGCUCUUGUAUGAAUUAGACCAGAUCUAUGGGGUUGUAUUUAGUAUUUCCGCUCUUUAUCUUGUAUGGAUGAAUUGAGACUUAUUCUAUAUUUAUUUCUUCCGCCUUUACUUAAAUUGGUUAUAUUGGAAUAAGGGUUCGCCUAUCACGGUGGGAAUAAUAGGUGUCCGCACAGCCUAGUAAAAUGGGCCGUAACAUAUUUUGUCCAAUUCCAAACUUCCAGCCACUAGUGCAAGUGUUUGGGAGUGCUAUGGAACCUUGGGGAGUGACCG